AUUGAACGCUGGCGGCAGGCCUAACACAUGCAAGUCGAACGGUAACAGGAAACAGCUUGCUGUUUCGCUGACGAGUGGCGGACGGGUGAGUAAUGUCUGGGAAACUGCCUGAUGGAGGGGGACAACUACUGGAAACGGUAGCUAACACCGCAUAACGUCGCAAGACCAAAGAGGGGGACCUUCGGGCCUCUUGCCAUCGGAUGUGCCCAGAUGGGAUUAGUUAGUAGGUGGGGUAACGGCCCACCUAGGCGACCAUCUCUAGCUGGUCUGAGAGGAUGAUCGGCCACACGGGAAGUGAGACACGCUCCAGACUCCUAAGGGAGGCAGCAGUGGGGAAUAUUGCACAAUAGGCGCGAGCCUGAUGCAGCCAUGCGGCGUGUAUGAAGAAGGCCUUCGGGUUGUAAAGUACUUUCAGCGGGGAGGAAGCGAGUAAACUUGAUACCUUGCCUCAUUGACGUUACCGGCAGAAGAAGCACCGGCUAACUCCGUG
rnacentral:rRNA from 1 species